UCAGAGUGAACGCUGGCGGCAGGCCUAACACAUGCAAGUCGAGCGGCAGCGCGUCCGACCACCCUCGGGUGGUCGGAUGGCGGCGAGCGGCGGACGGGUGAGGAAUGCAUCGGAAUCUGCCUCGUUGUGGGGGAUAACGUAGGGAAACUUACGCUAAUACCGCAUACGACCUACGGGUGAAAGUGGGGGACCUUCGGGCCUCACGCGAUGAGAUGAGCCGAUGCCGGAUUAGCUAGUUGGCGGGGUAAAGGCCCACCAAGGCGACGAUCCGUAGCUGGUCUGAGAGGAUAAUCAGCCACACUGGAACUGAGACACGGUCCAGACUCCUACGGGAGGCAGCAGUGGGGAAUAUUGGACAAUGGGGGCAACCCUGAUCCAGCCAUGCCGCGUGUGUGAAGAAGGCCUUCGGGUUGUAAAGCACUUUUGCUGGGGAAGAAACCGGCCGGGUUAAUACCCUGGUUGAAUGACGGUACCCAAAGAAUAAGCACCGGCUAACUUCGUG
rnacentral:rRNA from 1 species